rnacentral:lncRNA from 1 species
AUCAGACCUCCCAUAGGCCCAUGAGGUAGAUUUGGUAUUAAGCGGAUUCCUAAUAAUUCUGUUUCCUGGCAAGCUCCUGACAUCCUGCAGCAUAAUGCAAAUGCAGCUGGCUACCCGGGUCAUAGCUCCGACUAACCCAUCACGCUCACUGAUGUAUGACUUCACCUCUCUGAAUGUGUUCUCCAUAUCAGUCUUCCCACGAGGAUCCCAUACCUCAGCAGAAGAAAUUUAUCAGAUGAUUUGA